UACGGAGGUGGCAAGCGUUAUCCGGAAUCAUUGGGUUUAAAGGGUCCGCAGGCGGUCUAAUAAGUCAGUGGUGAAAGCCUACAGCUCAACUGUAGAACUGCCAUUGAUACUGUUAGACUUGAAUUCGGUCGAAGUGGGCGGAAUGUGACAUGUAGCGGUGAAAUGCUUAGAUAUGUCACAGACACCGAUAGCGAAGGCAGCUCACUAGGCCUGGAUUGACGACUCAGGGACGGAAAGC
rnacentral:rRNA from 1 species